rnacentral:rRNA from 1 species
UACAGAGGGUGCGAGCGUUGUCCGGAAUCACUGGGCGUAAAGGGCGCGUAGGUGGUGGCUUAAGCGUGCGGUGAAAGCUCGGAGCUCAACUCCGAGUCGGCCGUGCGAACUGGGCUCACUGGAGCAUAGUAGAGGCAGGUGGAAUUCCGGGUGUAGCGGUGGAAUGCGUAGAGAUCCGGAGGAACACCAGUGGCGAAGGCGACACGCUGGGCCGUACCUGACACUGAUGCGCGACAGCAUGGGGAGCAAACAGG